rnacentral:sRNA from 1 species
GCUCCAUUGGAGACUUCUUGAGGGCAACAGACAAACUAUUUGAUAGCUGAAUACAUAUUUGGUAACUCGUAUGGCUCAUUGGAUAUGAAUUUUGGAAAUCUAUGUUUCCAGAUUACUUUGCUUAAUUCUUGCUUCCUCAUACUUUUUCUAUGAAGGGAUAUAUACCUAAGACACUAGGAAAAGCACAUCUGAGAUUUUACCAAAUGUUGCAAGAACUCUGGAGUUCUUAUGGUAGUAAAAUGCCGGAAAGAAAAUUCUGCAUUGAAAGAAUGUCUAACUGCUUACUAUAAUGAUCCAGCCUUUUAUGAAGAAUGCAAAAUGGAAUACCUGAAGGAAAGGGAAGAAUUCAGAAAAACUGGAAUUCCUGCAAAGAAAAGGCUACAGAAGCUUCCAACAAGCAUGUAGGCAGAUACUCAAAUGACAUUCAGGAACUCUAAUAUUCAUGGAAGUCAUUUUAUAGUCCUUAAAUAAUGGACUCAAGCAUGUAUAUUUGCUUUACCUUCACUAUGGAAAUAUUAUCUGAAAUAAAUAUUUUAUUUCAAA